AACCGGAAGCCGGGUUACGGU
rnacentral:snRNA from 1 species